AAUGAACGCUGGCGGCAUGCCUAACACAUGCAAGUCGAACGAAGGCUUCGGCCUUAGUGGCGCACGGGUGCGUAACGCGUGGGAAUCUGCCCCUUGGUUCGGAAUAACAGUUAGAAAUGACUGCUAAUACCGGAUGACGACGUAAGUCCAAAGAUUUAUCGCCGAGGGAUGAGCCCGCGUAGGAUUAGCUAGUUGGUGUGGUAAGAGCGCACCAAGGCGACGAUCCUUAGCUGGUCUGAGAGGAUGAUCAGCCACACUGGGACUGAGACACGGCCCAGACUCCUACGGGAGGCAGCAGUGGGGAAUAUUGGACAAUGGGCGAAAGCCUGAUCCAGCAAUGCCGCGUGAGUGAUGAAGGCCUUAGGGUUGUAAAGCUCUUUUACCCGGGAUGAUAAUGACAGUACCGGGAGAAUAAGCUCCGGCUAACUCC
rnacentral:rRNA from 1 species